UCUGUGCCCCUACUUCCCAG
rnacentral:miRNA from 1 species